rnacentral:rRNA from 1 species
UACAGAGGGGGCAAGCGUUGUUCGGAAUUACUGGGCGUAAAGGGCGCGUAGGCGGCCUUCUAAGUCGAACGUGAAAUCCCCGGGCUCAACCCGGGAACUGCGUCCGAUACUGGAAGGCUUGAAUCCGGGAGAGGGAUGUGGAAUUCCAGGUGUAGCGGUGAAAUGCGCAGAUAUCAGGAGGAACACCGGUGGCGAAGGCGGUUCUCUGGGCAUUACCUGACGCUGAGGAGCGAAAGCAUGGGGAGCGAACAGG